rnacentral:rRNA from 1 species
CCUACGGGUGGCAGCAGUGAGGAAUAUUGGUCAAUGGACGAGAGUCUGAACCAGCCAAGUAGCGUGAAGGAUGACUGCCCUAUGGGUUGUAAACUUCUUUUAUAAAGGAAUAAAACAAGGCACGUGUGCCUUUUUGCAUGUACUUUAUGAAUAAGGAUCGGCUAACUCCGUGCCAGCAGCCGCGGUAAUACGGAGGAUCCGAGCGUUAUCCGGAUUUAUUGGGUUUAAAGGGAGCGUAGAUGGGUUGUUAAGUCAGUUGUGAAAGGUUGCGGCUCAACCGUAAAAUUGCAAUUGAUACUGGCAGUCUUGAGUACAGUUGAGGUAGGAGGAAUUCGUGGUGUAGCGGUGAAAUGCUUAGAUAUCACGAAGAACCCCGAUUGCGAAGGCAGCUUACUAAACUGUGACUGACAUUGAUGCUCGAAAGUGUGGGUAUCAAACAGGAUUAGAUACCCCAGUAGUC